UCCACUGUUGCGUUUUUCAUACGUAUGUAUACGCACGUAAAACUUUAAAUCCGUUUAAAUGUUACUUAUGGAAUAACCAAAUAAAUAAAGCAACAGAAUUCAGUGUUCCGCAAGUUUUAGGAUGCAUUUGUUAACUUAUUUGUAAAAUAUUUAAAAAAUAGAAGGAUUCAAAGUUUUACGUGCCUGUACGUGCGUAUGAAAAACGCAACAGUGGA
rnacentral:miRNA from 1 species